UAAAGAGCAUGAUGUCAUAUGAGUUUGUUUAUCAGUCCCAAAUAGCUGCUCUGUUUUAGCAAGACCUACGCAGUGUCCUGCAUUUUAGGAAGGCCUAAGAAAGCCACUGAAAAGACGGGAUAAUGGAACAUGCUGUUUACUUUGGACUUAAGAACUCUGUGUACUGCUGGCUGAGAGAAGACCAGUCCCUCCAGAGCCCCAGAUCCUGGUGCAUCGGAGUGAGGUACGGAAAUAGUGAAAUGACAAUCUUCUACCUCAUUUUACAUACAGAAGAAAUCUGCGGCUUUAGCUGAGAAAAGCUACCAUAUGUGAGCACUCUCGAGGCAAUACCAUGCCUUUGUAAGAAGUGAAAUUAAAGUCUGAGAGAACUUCAGAACUUUGUCACCCGCACCUUCACACAUGCUAAGGUGUUCACCAGCUACUGUUUAAAUAAUAAAUCUCUCGCCCCACCCAAGUUCAUUAAUUUUAAGUGUCAACAAUCUAGUUUCCUUUCUGGCAAUCUCUCCCUCUUGAUUUUUUUUUUGAGACUUUAUAAAAGCUUCCCUAGCUCCUAAUGCAUAUGAACAAUUUCAUUUCUCAGUCAGCUGUUCUCUAGCUAGUCCU